rnacentral:rRNA from 1 species
UACGGAGGGUGCAAGCGUUAUCCGGAUUCACUGGGUUUAAAGGGUGCGUAGGUGGGCAGGUAAGUCAGUGGUGAAAUCUCCGGGCUUAACCCGGAAACUGCCGUUGAUACUAUCUGUCUUGAAUAUCGUGGAGGUAAGCGGAAUAUGUCAUGUAGCGGUGAAAUGCUUAGAUAUGACAUAGAACACCCAUUGCGAAGGCAGCUUACUACACGAUCAUUGACGCUGAGGCACGAAAGCGUGGGGAGCAAACAGG